rnacentral:tRNA from 1 species
AGGGUUGUAGCUCAGUGGCAGAGCACUUGCCUAGCAUGCAUGAGACACUGGGUUAGAUUCCUGGCACCACAU